rnacentral:rRNA from 1 species
AUUGAACGCUGGCGGCAUGCUUUACACAUGCAAGUCGAACGGCAGCGCGGGCUUCGGCCUGGCGGCGAGUGGCGAACGGGUGAGUAAUGCAUCGGAACGUGCCCAGUAGUGGGGGAUAGCCCGGCGAAAGCCGGAUUAAUACCGCAUACGACCUGAGGGUGAAAGCGGGGGACCGAAAGGCCUCGCGCUAUUGGUGCGGCCGAUGUCGGAUUAGCUAGUUGGUGGGGUAAAGGCUUACCAAGGCGACGAUCCGUAGCUGGUCUGAGAGGACGACCAGCCACACUGGGACUGAGACACGGCCCAGACUCCUACGGGAGGCAGCAGUGGGGAAUUUUGGACAAUGGGGGCAACCCUGAUCCAGCCAUGCCGCGUGCGGGAAGAAGGCCUUCGGGUUGUAAACCGCUUUUGUUCGGGAAGAAAUCCUCUAGGCUAAUACCCCGGGGGGAUGACGGUACCGGAAGAAUAAGCACCGGCUAACUACGUG